rnacentral:lncRNA from 1 species
CACAGAAGACGAAGAGCUGGAAUAGAGCUCGCCUCGGCUCUGCUGGCCUUGGCUGCAGCUCUUCCAGAAACCCGGGGCGCCCACAGAAGAAUCUCUUACCUGGCUCUCUCUUCAGGGAUGACAUCAUCGGCUCACACCAGUCUUCCAGGACCACCUUCUGGAUGCCAAGGCUGCUGCUCGAGUACCUGCUGUGCACCUCUACCUCCUGAGCCAAGGAGCACGGAUUCCAGGAACCCACUACCAUACAGAGCAACUCCUUGUGGACCCCCCUGGGAUCAGGACAGCGAGGGACAAGCGACAAAGAGGAUCAUCAGUGGCCAGCUAGUUUCUCUGGGGUUCAAACCUUGAACCAGUGCCCUAGUGAGGGGGCACUGGCCAUGGCCCUUGACCUUUGCUCUGCUUGUGUCUUGAGUCUGAGCCCUUUCCUGUACAUCUGUGCUCGUGUUCAUCUGCUAGUGAACUGGAGUGCUGCCCUCCCCGAGGAGGGUCGUCCCUUGUGACUGAUCAUGCUGUCCUAACAAUGUCCUGAGCAAAAGGGUCCCUUUGGGAACCUCUCAGGAGGGGGACCCGGGUCAGGGGCGACCAGCAUCUUGCUGGCAACUCCGUGGGUGGGGUGGGGUGGGGUGCUUCCUUCUGGAAUGAGCACGUGGCUGACCCCCCAAGGCAUGUCCCCUCCCCCUCCUCCACCCACCUUCUCGGAGAUGUCCCUUUUGGGGUAGUGGGGACAUUAGGAGCAACCUCCUAGGGUUGUUGUGAGAAUUAAAUGAACUGCAGCAGCCUGAGGCAGGGCUGGGCAGAGACCUCAGCACAUGUUUGUUGAAAGGUUUGCAGGUGGAUCUAGUCCUCCCGUUCAUGGCUCAUGUGUCUCAACCAUUCUCUCGCAGACUCCUGCAGCCCCUAUGCCCAGGGCUCUCCUUGCGCCAGAGGUAGGUGGGAAAGAGAACUGGGAGAGCCCGGACUCACUCAUGAGAUUGAACUUAAAUUCACACGGAGGACACUUGGACUCUUGCCACAUUAGCCCCGGCUUCUCGAGGCCUGUCUACACUCGCUGCUUUCCUUCCUCACCUCCAAUUUCCCCUCCAACCCACUGCUUCCUGACUCGCUCUUCUCCAUCGAACGGCUCUCGCUCAGGCCUGUCGCGUCUUCCUGUGCCAUUUGCUGUUGUGCUCAGGUUCCACGAGCUGCCCAUCUCCACAGAAGAGCAGCUGGCAUUGCCCACCGGCCAUGCCGGCUGAAGAAAAGAAGACUGAGGACCCCAGGAUGCCCAGCGCGAGGACCCCAGGAAGCCCAGCGCGAGGACUCCACCCACGACGCCCAGCGCGAGGACUUCACGCACAACACGUUGCAACCCUCCUGGAUUAGGCCAAAGCCAUCAUCUGGAAUCCUGCGUGGGACCCUGGACACACGGACACAGACACCUGCCCCCAGGACCCUCCAACUGUAAAUCGAUUGGAAGCGCCCUUGUGAGCUGGGGCCUUCAAAGGGCUGAGGAGAAAAUGCAGGCCGAGAGACCAGCUUCUCAAAUAGGCUUCAAGCCUCCAUGACCUGAGCUCACCCCCUGGAAAUGUCUGGAAAACAUAAUGGGCAGGUUUUCUGUCUUCAAAGUUUCCAUCAAAACCUCUUCAAGUUCUUUAUUGUUUAGGACUGAGACACUUGGGGACAGUAAUGGGGACUUUCUUUUGUAUCUGUCUUGAAAGGCCAAAAUAUUUUUAUAUUGCUGUAGACAAAGCCACCUAUUUACAAAUGGACUCUUGUUCCGUCGUUUCCCACCAGGAAGACCGUACUAUGUUUGUGUCUCUAUGUAUUCUGGGGUCUUGAAACAGGUUUCUCAUGGGGAUGGCCAUUCACUAGAGCCCAGAGGGGCAGAAGGGGAAGUGUCUACCCUGCCAAGGGGGUCUGGGGAAGGAGGGGGGCUAGUCUCAGAUUUGCUCCUUGUAUGUCUAGGGUAAACCCUGGGAGAAUCUGGUGGUAAAAGAACAUAUGCUGUGUUUGCCCCACAUCUGCCAUUUGUGUGUGUUUCUGGGCUACGGGUUUGCACACUUUGGUGGUUAACAUGGUGGGAGGAAGUAAGAAGGGCCAAGAGGGCACGGGUGCUCUGGUUUUCCUGCUGGGAGGCUGUUUCACUGGUGUGUGUUACAUCACAUAAUGCAUGUUUAGCUGGGUGAGUGACAACAGUAUGAAGGGACAGAGAAACAAAUAGGUGUAGAAAGAGAGUCACAGAGCACACAGUCACCAUUCUGUGCCCAGGCGUUCAUUAAAUGUUCAAUAGAAUGCUGAGCUCUGAUAGACAGAGCGGGCCAUGGACACACUGGUAUUGGGUCAUCAUGGACCUAAGGAGUUUUUUUAAUUGAAGAAGGAAUCUUACAUAACAGAAGAAAGAAUAAGAAGAGCUGUCAAAACGAGCUCUGAGGUUUUUGAAGCCCCUUAAUAUAAACAGACAGACAAUGGCGUGAUCAGGAAAGGGAGAAAACAAACAAACAAACAAACAAGAUGCUUACAGAAAUACGAGAGGACGUGUGAGCAUGCAAAGAGAACCCAGCUAGGUUAGUAUCGGGGUGCUGGUGGAUCGUUAAUCCUGUCUGGGUACCCCAGCUCCAAGGGGAUGAGAGGCAGCAAGUGAGAGGACACAUAGGAAACUGUAACAAGACAGAGGCGAGCAGAUGGGGAGCUUCAGCGGAGUGUUAAGCUAGGCUUCGCAAUCUGACCACUUAACUCUCCCAGCAAAGAAAAGAAAGGCUUAAAUACUAAAAAGAAGGAAAGCUGGAAGAAAGGAUGGUAGAUGUGAAAGGCAUAGAGGAUAGAAAGCAAUAGGGAGUGGAGUGCAGGUGCUGUGGAGAGACGCUUGCAGGUGACUCAAUUCACCAGCCUGUGCAGCUGAGAAAGACAGCCAGUGACAAAGGAGAAGAAGAAAGGUAACAAUACACUCACAAAUAGGUAGAUGAAUGUAGCUGGAAGACGGGGCCUGGCUAGGGACGGGAUGAGAGGCUGUGUCAGCAGACUGGUUAAUUCCCAUCUGUGCUUCUGAGAUGGACAAUGACCCACCCGACCAAGAGACCUUUCAGGCAUCAAUAUGUCAGGGAGGGCUUCAAUGGGGCAAUGGAGGCGAGGCCCAUUAAUAGCAGAUUAUGAUGUAUCCAAUUAGGUGCACCUGCCCUCUGGAAGUGCAGAAACCAGUAUUGAAAUGGAAAGAAAGACUGAAUGGAAGUCCGAGAGUACAAAUGAAUGGAUGGGAAAAAAGAUUUGCAUUCGCUCUUAGGGGGAGGGUGCUGCUGAGCCCCAGGGUCAUCUGAUCUCCCGGAGAAUAAAAGGGCGAGGGAGUGAUAGAGAGUAACAAUAAGAUG